GUGCCAGCCGCCGCGGUAAGACGAACCGUGCGAACGUUAUUCGGAAUCACUGGGCUUAAAGGGCGCGUAGGCGGGUCCGUAAGUCAGGGGUGAAAUCCCACGGCCCAACCGUGGAAGUGCCUCUGAUACUGCGGGCCUCGAGGGGGAUAGGGGCGUGCGGAACUCAGGGUGGAGCGGUGAAAUGCGUAGAUAUCCUGAGGAACACCGGUGGCGAAAGCGGCGCGCUGGAUCCCUUCUGACGCUGAGGCGCGAAAGCCAGGGGAGCAAACGGGAUUAGAUACCCCUGUAGUCC
rnacentral:rRNA from 1 species